rnacentral:lncRNA from 1 species
AGCUGCGCGCUGAGCUCGCGGCAGUACGGGGAGCGCCCGCCCGCCCCGCCCUGGACCCAACCAAGCGUCCCGCGGAGGGGUGCGGCCACUUGGGGGCAGGAGAAAGCGGAGUACGCCACCCCUCUAGGGACCCAGGAAGCGAGGCGAGCCUCAGGUGGACGCGGUGGUGUGGACCACGGCGAUCAGGGCCUUUCCCCCUGCUGUGGAGACGGAGGUGCGAGGGGACGCCGGCGGCUCCCCACCUUCUGGCCGAGUGGCCUUCUCCGCCUCCGGCUGGACUCCCUCGGGGCGCUCCCUCCAGAGCCGAGUCGGGCUGGCCGGGGGCGGCUGUUUGGCCUGAGUGUCGUCUUACUAAAGCGGAACGCCGGAGGGGAGGCCACUCCGAGAGAAGGCGGUCCCCGGCGGAGGUGGCUUCGUGAAUCCUGCAGCCCCCUGCCCGCCCGCCACUCGAGACGCCGCGCCUCGUGGGUUUCACGCUGGAUGGAGGGGGCGCCGCCGAGGAUGCCCAGCCUCCCCCUCUAAUUCUACCUCUCCAGUUCCUCAGGUAGACACAGCCUCUGUCUGCUGUGGUUUUAGUGCCCAUGGCCCCUCAGAAAUUAUUUUUGUCCCCUCCCGAUAGUGGCUUUGGGGGAUGGAGGGCGAGAGAUGCAAAGGGCCAGUGGAAGAUUUUUUAUAGCACAAGGAAUCAAGCCAGGAGAUGGAGGUUUCAUUGCCACCUCGGGGUCUGGGGAGGGGGCGAGCCACACCUCUCCGGUCAGUCUGCGCCCACCAGGACCUGCUGCUGGGAACCGCACACGAAAGGAGAGACACCCAGCACCUGGCCCCUAGACCCGCAGGGCGUCAACCUCCUGGGCUUCUGCCUUUCUAGGUUUCCUCUGACUUUGCUGACCCAAUGACCCCUGGCCACGGGUGGCAAAAACGCCCUCACUGAGCCCUUCGCUAAAGGAGUGCCGGGGUUUAUGUGUCUGGCUUUUAAAAUGGGAUGAGGAGACAAGGAAACAGGACCUGAGAAAGGACACUAUCCAAAAUCUGAUGCUCUCAGAAGUCAACUUUAAAACUGCCCUGCUCCGCGGUGGCUCACGCCUGUAAUCCCAGCACUUUGGGAGGCCGAGGCGGGCGGAUCACGAGGUCAGGA